GACACAGGGAGGUAGUGACAAGAAAUAACAAUACGAGUCUUAAAGUCUUGUAAUUGGAAUGACGGGAAUCUAAAACCUUUCCGGAGUAUCAAUUGGAGGGCAAGUCUGGUGCCAGCAGCCGCGGUAAUUCCAGCUCCAAUAGCGUAUAUUAAAAUUGUUGCAGUUAAAAAGCUCGUAGUUGAAUUUCUGCUGCAUCCGUGUCAUUCCUAACUGGUUUGUCACUGUUGUGGCUUUUUCUGGUGGUUGUGCUUCGGCUAGAUCUCCAGAUUGUUACUUUGAGAAAAUUAGAGUGCUUCAAGCAGGCUUUUGCCUUGAAUACUUUAGCAUGGAAUAACUAAGUAGGACUUUGGUUCUAUUUUGUUGGUUUAAGAGCCAAAGUAAUGAUUAAUAGGAACAG
rnacentral:rRNA from 1 species